UGAAGAGUUUGAUCAUGGCUCAGAUUGAACGCUGGCGGCAGGCCUAACACAUGCAAGUCGAACGGUAACAGGAAGCAGCUUGCUGCUUUGCUGACGAGUGGCGGACGGGUGAGUAAUGUCUGGGAAACUGCCUGAUGGAGGGGGAUAACUACUGGAAACGGUGGCUAAUACCGCAUAACGUCGCAAGACCAAAGAGGGGGACCUUCGGGCCUCUUGCCAUCAGAUGUGCCCAGAUGGGAUUAGCUUGUUGGUGAGGUAACGGCUCACCAAGGCGACGAUCCCUAGCUGGUCUGAGAGGAUGACCAGCCACACUGGAACUGAGACACGGUCCAGACUCCUACGGGAGGCAGCAGUGGGGAAUAUUGCACAAUGGGCGCAAGCCUGAUGCAGCCAUGCCGCGUGUAUGAAGAAGGCCUUCGGGUUGUAAAGUACUUUCAGCGGGGAGGAAGGUGUUGUGGUUAAUAACCGCAGCAAUUGACGUUACCCGCAGAAGAAGCACCGGCUAACUCCGUGCCAGCAGCCGCGGUAAUACGGAGGGUGCAAGCGUUAAUCGGAAUUACUGGGCGUAAAGCGCACGCAGGCGGUCUGUCAAGUCGGAUGUGAAAUCCCCGGGCUCAACCUGGGAACUGCAUUCGAAACUGGCAGGCUUGAGUCUUGUAGAGGGGGGUAGAAUUCCAGGUGUAGCGGUGAAAUGCGUAGAGAUCUGGAGGAAUACCGGUGGCGAAGGCGGCCCCCUGGACAAAGACUGACGCUCAGGUGCGAAAGCGUGGGGAGCAAACAGGAUUAGAUACCCUGGUAGUCCACGCCGUAAACGAUGUCUACUUGGAGGUUGUGCCCUUGAGGCGUGGCUUCCGGAGCUAACGCGUUAAGUAGACCGCCUGGGGAGUACGGCCGCAAGGUUAAAACUCAAAUGAAUUGACGGGGGCCCGCACAAGCGGUGGAGCAUGUGGUUUAAUUCGAUGCAACGCGAAGAACCUUACCUGGUCUUGACAUCCACGGAAGUUUUCAGAGAUGAGAAUGUGCCUUCGGGAACCGUGAGACAGGUGCUGCAUGGCUGUCGUCAGCUCGUGUUGUGAAAUGUUGGGUUAAGUCCCGCAACGAGCGCAACCCUUAUCCUUUGUUGCCAGCGGUCCGGCCGGGAACUCAAAGGAGACUGCCAGUGAUAAACUGGAGGAAGGUGGGGAUGACGUCAAGUCAUCAUGGCCCUUACGACCAGGGCUACACACGUGCUACAAUGGCGCAUACAAAGAGAAGCGACCUCGCGAGAGCAAGCGGACCUCAUAAAGUGCGUCGUAGUCCGGAUUGGAGUCUGCAACUCGACUCCAUGAAGUCGGAAUCGCUAGUAAUCGUGGAUCAGAAUGCCACGGUGAAUACGUUCCCGGGCCUUGUACACACCGCCCGUCACACCAUGGGAGUGGGUUGCAAAAGAAGUAGGUAGCUUAACCUUCGGGAGGGCGCUUACCACUUUGUGAUUCAUGACUGGGGUGAAGUCGUAACAAGGUAACCGUAGGGGAACCUGCGGUUGGAUCACCUCCUUA
rnacentral:rRNA from 3 species